rnacentral:rRNA from 1 species
UUAGAGGAAGUAAAAGUCGUAACAAGGUCUCCGUUGGUGAACCAGCGGAGGGAUCAUUACUGAGUUUACGCUCUACAACCCUUUGUGAACAUACCUACAACUGUUGCUUCGGCGGGUAGGGUCUCCGCGACCCUCCCGGCCUCCCGCCUCCGGGCGGGUCGGCGCCCGCCGGAGGAUAACCAAACUCUGAUUUAACGACGUUUCUUCUGAGUGGUACAAGCAAAUAAUCAAAACUUUUAACAACGGAUCUCUUGGUUCUGGCAUCGAUGAAGAACGCAGCGAAAUGCGAUAAGUAAUGUGAAUUGCAGAAUUCAGUGAAUCAUCGAAUCUUUGAACGCACAUUGCGCCCGCCAGCAUUCUGGCGGGCAUGCCUGUUCGAGCGUCAUUUCAACCCUCAAGCUCUGCUUGGUGUUGGGGCCCUACAGCCGAUGUAGGCCCUCAAAGGUAGUGGCGGACCCUCCCGGAGCCUCCUUUGCGUAGUAACUUUACGUCUCGCACUGGGAUCCGGAGGGACUCUUGCCGUAAAACCCCCCAAUUUUCCAAAGGUUGACCUCGGAUCAGGUAGGAAUACCCGCUGAACUUAAGCAUAUCA